UACAGCGGUCCCAAGCGUUGUUCGGAUUUACUGGGCGUAAAGGGUGCGUCGGUGGCGGGGUAAGUCUGGUGUGAAAGCUUCGAGCUCAACUCGGAAAAGCAUUGGAAACUAUCCCGCUGGAGGGUCGGAGGGGAGACUGGAAUUCUCGGUGUAGCAGUGAAAUGCGUAGAUAGCGAGAGGAACAACAGUGGCGAAGGCGAGUCUCUGGACGACUCCUGACACUGAGGCACGAAAGCUAGGGGAGCAAACAGG
rnacentral:rRNA from 1 species